rnacentral:rRNA from 1 species
GACGAACGCUGGCGGCGUGCCUAAUACAUGCAAGUAGAACGCUGAAGGAGGAGCUUGCUUCUCUGGAUGAGUUGCGAACGGGUGAGUAACGCGUAGGUAACCUGCCUGGUACCGGGGGAUAACUAUUGGAAACGAUAGCUAAUACCGCAUAAUAGUAGAUGUUGCAUGACAUUUGCUUAAAAGGUGCAAUUGCAUCACUACCAGAUGGACCUGCGUUGUAUUAGCUAGUUGGUGGGGUAACGGCUCACCAAGGCGACGAUACAUAGCCGACCUGAGAGGGUGAUCGGCCACACUGGGACUGAGACACGGCCCAGACUCCUACGGGAGGCAGCAGUAGGGAAUCUUCGGCAAUGGACGGAAGUCUGACCGAGCAACGCCGCGUGAGUGAAGAAGGUUUUCGGAUCGUAAAGCUCUGUUGUAAGAGAAGAACGAGUGUGAGAGUGGAAAGUUCACACUGUGACGGUAUCUGACCAGAAAGGGACGGCUAACUACGUG